rnacentral:rRNA from 1 species
CAGUCGCCGCGGGAAUACGUAGGUGGCAAGCGUUGUCCGGAAUUAUUGGGCGUAAAGGGCUCGCAGGCGGUUUCUUAUGUCUGCUGUGAAAUCCCGGGGCUCAACCUGGGAAUGGCAGUGGAUACUGGCAAGCGAGAGUGUGUCAGGGGAUGGUGGAAUUCCCGGUGUAGCGGUGAAAUGCGUAGAGAUCGGAAAGAACACCAACGGCGAAAGCACUCUGCUGGGCCGACACUGACACUGAGAGACGAAAGCUAGGGGAGCAAAUGGGAUUAGAUACCCCGGUAGUCCCUGUCUCUUAUAC